CCUACGGGUGGCAGCAGUGGGGAAUAUUGCACAAUGGGGGAAACCCUGAUGCAGCGACGCCGCGUGAGUGAAGAAGUAAUUCGUUAUGUAAAGCUCUAUCAGCAGGGAAGAAAAUGACGGUACCUGAGUCAGAAGCCCCGGCUAACUACGGGCCAGCAGCCGCGGGAAUACGUAGGGGGCAAGCGUUAUCCGGAUUUACUGGGGGUAAAGGGAGCGUAGACGGCAGUGCAAGUCUGGAGGGAAAGGCGGGGGCUCAACCCCCGGACUGCUCUGGAAACUGGACGGCUGGAGUGCAGGAGAGGUAAGUGGAAUGCCUGGUGUAGCGGUGAAAUGCGUAGAUAUUAGGAAGAACACCGGUGGCGAAGGCAGCUUACUGGACUGUAACUGACGUUGAGGCUCGAAAGCGUGGGGAGCGAACAGGAUUAGAUACCCGAGUAGUC
rnacentral:rRNA from 1 species